rnacentral:rRNA from 1 species
CGGACGAACGCUAGCGGCAGGCCUAACACAUGCAAGUCGAGGGGUAGAGUAAGCUUGCUUACUUGAGACCGGCGCACGGGUGCGUAACGCGUAUGCAAUCUACCUUAUACUAAGGGAUAGCCCAGAGAAAUUUGGAUUAAUACCUUAUAGUUAAUUUAGUUGGCAUCAAUUGAAUUAUAAAGAUUUAUUGGUAUAAGAUGAGCAUGCGUCCCAUUAGUUAGUUGGUAAGGUAACGGCUUACCAAGACGAUGAUGGGUAGGGGUCCUGAGAGGGAGAUCCCCCACACUGGUACUGAGACACGGACCAGACUCCUACGGGAGGCAGCAGUGAGGAAUAUUGGACAAUGGGCGCAAGCCUGAUCCAGCCAUGCCGCGUGCAGGAUGAAGCAUCUAUGGUGUGUAAACUGCUUUUGUACGGGAAGAAAAAACAUUACGAGUAAUGUACUGACGGUACCGUAAGAAUAAGGAUCGGCUAACUCCGUG